AUCGCUUCUCGGCCUUUUGGCCAAGAUCAUGUGUAGUAUCUGUGCUUAUCAGUUUAAUAUUUGAUAUGUCCUCAGUAUGAGGAUGUUGUAUUAAUUGGAUUUUUGGAGUAGGGAGGUGGGUUGGGAGUUUGCUCCGUCUCCAGAGCUUAGAACACUGCUUGCCACAUAGCGCUUAACAAAUACCAUUA